AUUGAACGCUGGCGGCAUGCUUUACACGUGCAAGUCGAGCGGUAACAGGCCGCAAGGUGCUGACGAGUGGCGAACGGGUGAGUAAUGCAUCGGAACGUGCCCAGUCGUGGGGGAUAACGCAGCGAAAGCUGCGCUAAUACCGCAUACGAUCUAUGGAUGAAAGCGGGGGACCGUAAGGCCUCGCGCGAUUGGAGCGGCCGAUGUCAGAUUAGGUAGUUGGUGGGGUAAAGGCUCACCAAGCCGACGAUCUGUAGCUGGUCUGAGAGGACGACCAGCCACACUGGGACGGAGACACGGCCCAGACUCCUACGGGAGGCAGCAGUGGGGAAUUUUGGACAAUGGGCGCAAGCCUGAUCCAGCAAUGCCGCGUGCAGGAAGAAGGCCUUCGGGUUGUAAACUGCUUUUGUACGGAACGAAACGGUCCUGGUUAAUACCUGGGGCUAAUGACGGUACCGUAAGAAUAAGCACCGGCUAACUACGUGCCAGCCGCCGCAGUAACAC
rnacentral:rRNA from 1 species